GGCCAUUUACAAGCUGCUGGCUUCCAACAGUGAAGGAAUCAGAGUUCAGGCUCUCAAAGUCUUGGGCUACUUCCUCAAACACUUGCCCGCUAAGAGGAAGUCAGAGGUCAUGCUGGGUCACGGCCUCUUCUCCCUGCUCAACGAGCGACUGAUGCUCCACUCCAACCAGUUCAGCAGGACAACCUACAACGUGCUCUUCGAGAUCCUGACCGAGCAGAUCUGCACUCAAGUGAUCCAUAAACAGCAUCCGGACCCCGACUCCAAUGUGAAGAUUGUCAACCCGCGUGAGUCACCCCCCGGCACC